UAUAAAACGGCGGCAGAAAACCUGAACAGAGUUACUCGCACAGUGCGACAUGGCGAAGCUACUACACGUCUGCCUGCUGCUGCUGGUUGCCUCCCUGCUCUGCGAACGGACGUUCGCGUGCGCCGAGGGCGAGCGCAGGUACGAUGGCUGUAACUGGUGCACUUGCGUCAGAGGCGGCUGGGUCUGCACCGCGAAGUUCUGUGGCCGCUCCGCCGCCGAGGGCGGCGGUGACACUCCAUUGGUGUAAGCGUUAUCUCGCGCCCAGAUCAGCUCUCCACAAAGCUUCAUUUGCGAUGCGUUCUGCUGUUUCAGAAAUGAUAAAAUAUUAAUGUGUACCUAACAAAUGGCUAAGAAUAAAAUCUGAUGUACUCAGUUUUGUUCCAGAUUAAUU